rnacentral:rRNA from 1 species
UACGUAGGGCGCAAGCGUUGUCCGGAAUUAUUGGGCGUAAAGAGCUCGUAGGCGGUCUGUCGCGUCGGCUGUGAAAACCCGAGGCUCAACCUCGGGCCUGCAGUCGAUACGGGCAGACUAGAGUGCUGUAGGGGAGACUGGAAUUCCUGGUGUAGCGGUGAAAUGCGCAGAUAUCAGGAGGAACACCGAUGGCGAAGGCAGGUCUCUGGGCCAUUACUGACACUGAGAAGCGAAAGCAUGGGGAGCGAACAGG